GAGAACAUGUGGAGUUCCAUCCCCACUGCUAGGAGAACAGUGUCCCACAGUGUCCUUCCCAGGUAUAGAGAACAGGACAGCUGGACUGGUGGGAGAAGCCAUGGUGGAACUACUGUGAAAGGUUUCAGCAACCUGGAAAUCACCUAUUCCAGAGACUGUAUCUAUAAAAUGCAGCCUGGAUCCCUGAGUCACUGCUUGGAAGAGAACUUCUUUGGAGAGCCAAUGGACCCAGAACAGACUUUUCAGGAACCAAAAAUAAACAUUUGUGUAUUAAACCACUGAAAUCUCCGAGAUAGUUUGUUACUGCAGCAUAGCCUCACUUAACCUGACUAAUACACCAUGUGCUCCAGAUCUACUAGUUGGGAUGGAGUUACUAACCCACAUUGGACUACGACAGUGUGAGGAAUAAACUGCCAUUGGGUUAAGUCA
rnacentral:lncRNA from 1 species